rnacentral:rRNA from 1 species
ACUCAAAGGAAUAGACGGGGACCCGCACAAGCGGUGGAUGAUGUGGUUUAAUUCGAUGCAACGCGAAAAACCUUACCCACCUUUGACAUGUACGGAACUCGCCAGAGAUGGCUUGGUGCUCGAAAGAGAGCCGUAACACAGGUGCUGCAUGGCUGUCGUCAGCUCGUGUCGUGAGAUGUUGGGUUAAGUCCCGCAACGAGCGCAACCCUUGUCAUUAGUUGCUACAUUCAGUUGGGCACUCUAAUGAGACUGCCGGUGACAAACCGGAGGAAGGUGGGGAUGACGUCAAGUCCUCAUGGCCCUUAUAGGUGGGGCUACACACGUCAUACAAUGGCUGGUACAGAGGGUUGCCAACCCGCGAGGGGGAGCUAAUCCCAUAAAACCAGUCGUAGUCCGGAUCGCAGUCUGCAACUCGACUGCGUGAAGUCGGAAUCGCUAGUAAUCGCGGAUCAGAAUGUCGCGGUGAAUACGUUCCCGGGUCUUGUACACACCGCCCGU